UACAGAGGGUGCAAGCGUUAAUCGGAAUCAUUGGGCGUAAAGAGCGUGUAGGCGGCCCGAUAAGUCCGCUGUGAAAGUCCAGGGCUCAACCCUGGAAUGCCGGUGGAUACUGUCGGGCUCGAAUCCGGAAGAGGUGAGUGGAAUUCCUGGUGUAGCGGUGAAAUGCGCAGAUAUCAGGAGGAAUACCGGAGGCGAAGGCGGCUUACUGGCUAGACACUGACACUCAGAUCCGAAAGCGUGGGGAUCAAACAGG
rnacentral:rRNA from 1 species